GCAGCAAGACGGAAAGACCCCAUGCACCUUUACUAUAGCCUGGUACUGAUGCCGGUUGUGGACUGCGUAGGAUAGGUGGGACGCGUUGAUGCCCCGGUUCCGGCCGGGGUGGAGCGGUCGGUGAAAUACCACCCUGUUUGCAUUCGUCAUCUCACCCUAAGCCCUGAAUCGGGAUAGGGAACCGUGCUAGGUGGUUAGUUUGACUGGGGCGGUCUCCUCCCAAAGCGUAACGGAGGAGUUCGAAGGUACGCUAGGCACGGUCGGAAAUCGUGCUGAUAGUGCAUAGGCAUAAGCGUGCUUGACUGCGAGACGGACAUGUCGAGCAGGUACGAAAGUAGGACUAAGUGAUCCGGUGGUUCUGUAUGGAAGGGCCAUCGCUCAACGGAUAAAAGGUACUCUGGGGAUAACAGGCUGAUUCCUCCCAAGAGUUCAUAUCGACGGGGGAGUUUGGCACCUCGAUGUCGGCUCAUCACAUCCUGGGGCUGUAGCCGGUCCCAAGGGUAUGGCUGUUCGCCAUUUAAAGUGGUACGUGAGCUGGGUUUAAAACGUCGUGAGACAGUUUGGUCCCUAUCUGCCGUGGGCGUUGGAAAUUUGAAGGGGGCUGCUCCUAGUACGAGAGGACCGGAGUGGACGCACCUCUGGUGCAUCGGUUGUCACGCCAGUGGCAUAGCCGAGUAGCUAAGUGCGGAAGAGAUAACCGCUGAAAGCA
rnacentral:rRNA from 1 species